GGCCUCCUGGUGCUUACUACAGGCUGUGUGCUUACACUGACUAUAUACAAAGAGCCAAAUAAACCUACCCCACUUUACCUCGACCCAUGUCCUGUGUCUUGUCUGUAUUGUGAAUGGGGAAACCUGA
rnacentral:snoRNA from 1 species